rnacentral:rRNA from 1 species
GACGAACGCUGGCGGCGUGCCUAAUACAUGCAAGUCGAGCGAAUGGAUGGGAGCUUGCUCCCUGAAAUUAGCGGCGGACGGGUGAGUAACACGUGGGCAACCUGCCUGUAAGACUGGGAUAACUUCGGGAAACCGGAGCUAAUACCGGAUAAUUUCUUUCUUCACAUGGAGAAAGGUUGAAAGACGGCUUCGGCUGUCACUUACAGAUGGGCCCGCGGCGCAUUAGCUAGUUGGUGAGGUAACGGCUCACCAAGGCGACGAUGCGUAGCCGACCUGAGAGGGUGAUCGGCCACACUGGGACUGAGACACGGCCCAGACUCCUACGGGUGGCAG